CACAAAGAAUUGCGAUGAUGUUGGGGGACAUCCAUUUGGUUCGGAUUACGACAUCUUUCCAGACUUCACUAUGAUGUUGGAAUUACCAGCGGCCUAUUCCACAAUAAUGGAUAACGCGGCGGCUGACAGUAUUCUGCGGGACAUACUGAAUACACCGACACCAAAAAUCUUUGAUGCUGCCGCAAGUUGUUACGACACAGCUAUACAGACUGGCAAAGCGGCUGAUGAGCGAUCCGUUUGGAAACACGCAAAAGGAAAAAAGAACGCUCAAACACUCGAAUAUAAAGAAGAUGACGCUAGAGUGCGAUGAUAUGAUCCAACGAUACCAAGGGUCAAUGAUGCAGAUGCACAAAUCCACAGGCCUAGCACAAGUAAGAAAACAACAAUUUGCACAACUGUCGCUGAAACGGAGAACCAACAAUUUGCAACGCCGUUGAUCGGAUAUAACCACCUAAAGGAAAAUGCUAGGCCAUUGGUUAUGGGGAUGCAUCACGGCAGUAUCAACCUGAACAAACGCAGACCGACUCGACCAAGAUCGACAAAGGUUAUAAUUCAGCAUUUACCGAUCUUAAAUGAUAAUUGGCGUAUUCCGAAGAUGAUACACCUCUACAGAGAAGUAUCGCAUUACAAACUGUAUUAAGCGUAAGUAAUGAGGGCAAUGUAACAGCAAAACACACGUCAUUUGACACUGUAGACCGGGACAUUGCUGGUAAUACAAAGACUGUAAAAGAUAAGAGAGCAUCACACCUCUCAAGAAGGAAAGUUAAGUAGUUGUCGCAAUUCGAUGUAAUCAUAAUUCCAGACACACAGGGUUGCUCUGAAACAGAAACACGACACAUAGCUGGUAUUGAUAAGUUAUCAAAUAUUAAAGGACAUAAAUGUGCAAGAGUUUUUUACCCCCUGUGUAGAGACAAUGACACAAGAACAGCAGAAUAGUUCUGAUUAAAUAUUAACAGCAGUUGCAUAAAUUCCUGGUAAUACUACAGAGGUUGAUUGUGUAACAUCAGCGCCCAAUAUUUUUACCACGGGCGCCGGGGCACACACAUCCCCCAUUGUGUGUGCCCCAGCUCACGGGGUAUCACCUGACCACACAUUGCCCGAUGUGGUUGCCCCGGCACCGGACAUAGUUGAUGGAAGUCAAAAUACAGAACAAGUAGGUCAAGAUGCUGAAAUACAAUUUUACACGUUGAUGGGUUAGAUACGGGAAGAUGUUGAGAACAUGGGUGUAAAUUCUGGAUAUUUGUUAAAACACAUUAAAGGUGUGAGCCACAGUGCUAAAUGUAAACAUGAUAUUAUUAAAGAAGUUGUUGAGACGUAUGUGAAUGUCAUGUCAAAAUACAUAGAUCGGUCAUUUAAGACAACUGAAUUUAUUAAAGCCAACAUACAUCAUUUUGCAGAAAUAAUUGAAACCAGUCCGUGACUAGGCAUGUUA